UAUUGAUUCAAAGACAUGUGGCUACUAAAGCUGGAGGCCAAGGACUGGCCAGUCCUUGAGCAAGAAGCCAGGCUCACUGGGAGGAGAGAAGGAGGCCCUUCCACUCAGAGGGCUGACCUUGAGCCAGGCAACGUGCCUGGGCUGCCCUGCCAACAGUGCCAUCAGUAGAUCCUCCCCUGACCUUGCAGAUGAAUAUCUUUAUGCUGACAUUGCAGGUGUGGGACUUAGAGAAGUCAGGUGAUUCGCCAAAGGUCUCCCUGCUUCUGAGUGGCAGGGCUGGGAACAGCAAGAGUCUGUCUGACCACGCAGGAAGGGGCCGGGUCACAGAGGAAAACAAAGUCCCGGGAACUUUCCAGCCUCCUGGUGGGGAGAGAUGGUGGACUUCAUCCAGGAAUGAUGACCUGACCCUCCGUGGGAAGCAGGACCAAGAAAGCUUGGCCCUGGAACUCUCCUGUCUCCAUGCUCCCUGGCCUUCCCUCCUACUGGACUCAUCUGCGUCUGCCCAAGCAAGGUCAUCCUGAGCUCCCAGUUCCUGGACCUUGAGCUCCUGGCUUGGCUCUCUUUCUCCAAAUGACCCCUGGCCCAGUUACCCUGAUUACCUCAGUUGCUAGUGCCACCCUUCUCUCCCCGGCUGAGGAUGGAUGAAGAUGGUUUUAUUGUUGAUUCUUUGCGACCCCAUGGACUGCAGUGCUCCAGGCUUCCCUUUCUUUUGCUUUCUCUUGGAAUUUGCUCACACUCAUGUCCCUUGAAUCAAUGAUGCCAUCCAACCAUCUCAUCCUCUGUCGUCCCCUUCUCCUCCUGCCCUCAAUCUUUCCCAGCAUGAGGGUCUUUUCCAAUAAGUUGGCUCUUCCCAUCAGGUGGCCAAAGCAUUGGAGUUUCAGCUUCAGCAUCAGUCCUUCUAAUGAGUAUUCAGGGUUGAUUUCCUUUAGGAUUGACUGGUUUGUUCUCCUUGCUGUCCAAGGGACCCCCAAGAGUCUUCUCCAACACCACAGUUCAAAACCAUCAAUUCUUUGGCAAUUCUUUUUUAGAAAGCAUCAAUUCUUUGGCACUCAGGCUUCUUAAUAGUCCAACUCUCACAUCUGUAUGUGACUACUGGAAAACAUAGGCUUUAGAAGGCUUUAGUUUGGCACCUCUUAAGGACAAGACUUAACAAAGAAAUGAAAAGAGGCACAGAGGUGAGGGCCUGGCUAAAAUCUCAGCAUCCAGGUCGAUGGGGCUGGGAGGCUUCCCUGGCCCUCUGAGCUAGUCUCUGGCCCUUGGAGCUGGACGUGGGGCAGGGCCUCGAUGCCUCCCUGCAGAGUGGGAUGCCGAACUGACAUGGGUUCAUGGUGGGCUCAGCCCAGCUGGCUCCUCAGCCUGGUGUCAUGAGCCCUUGGUGAAGAUGUGAUGUUGCGGGGUCGCUCCUUGUCUCUCCACUUCUCUGAGUCCCUGCCCGCUCCCUGGGGCCAGCCCCUCCUCUCCCCCUCCUCCACACUGAGCAUCUCCUUGCCCCCUUCCUGCUUCCUCUCAGAAUAGGCCUCAGGCACAGCUCUGGAUCAGCCCUGCCCGCUCUGCCUCCUCAUUUGGCUCCAGAGUCCCUCCUCAUCCUGGCCAGCUCUGCAGACCCUUCCAGGCUGUGAGGAGGCACAGGUGCCAUCACCUGGGUGACCCGCCGUCACAACCUCCCAAGUGCAGGGAACCGGGUGGAGCGGAUGGCUCAGCCUCUGCUGGUUCGGGCAGCGGCAGCUUUACUGCCCCUCUGUGGCCAGCCAGUGACCAGCCUCCAUCCCAACUCCUUUUCUAGAGCCUGGGUAGGGAGUGAAGGAGCUCGCAUCAGCACCUGCUGUGUGUGAGGCUCAAUUUAGGUCUAUCAGAUGUCCGUGGAGGGCUCCCCAUGUGCCAGGCACAGGGCCAGGUGCGACACUGCACACCAGUGGCUAUGCAGACCACAGAAGUGAGAGUGCAGGCUAGGACCGAGGCCUGGGGGGCCCCCUGCACUCACAUAGGCCACCUGCCUGCCCCCCACUCCCAGUGCAUCACAUGUACCAAAAGCUACCACCGAAGACUCCCAAUAACUGAGUGAAACCUGCCCCUUCCCAGGGGCCUCCAAGGCCCCGUAAUCCUGCCCACCACCACUCCCCAGCAUCCACUUGGAGCACAGCCAUCCUUGACCUGAAGAAAUGGGUUCCUGUCGGGGUCUUGCUCCUGCCACUGCCUCUGUCCUGAGCUGUCUUCCCGGGGAUCCAGCAGCUCCUCCCUUGCAUUGUCAGCAUCUCAGGCUUUGGCUGUCCACUGAGGGAGUCUGUUGAUGACCACAUUAUUUAAAAUAUCACCUCUGUGUUAACCCUCCAUCCCUUAUUGCAUCUCCCACCAUAUUACUUGAAAUAAUAUUAGCUAACUGCAUGUUUGUUCUUUGCUCCUUGUCAUCUUCUCCAGACGUGACUCCUGUGAGAACAGGCUCUGUGGUGCCCUCAGCAUUUGAGGCAGCUUCCCAGGUGGUGCUAGUGAUGAAGAACCUGGCUGUCAAUGCAGGAGACAUAAGAGACGUGGGUUUGAUCCCUGGGUCAAGAUGACCCCCUGGAGGGCAUGGUAACCCAGUCCAGUACUCUUGCUUGGAGAAUCCCAUGGACAGAGGAGCCAGGUGGCUCUUCUGAAAUUGCAGAGUUGGACACAACUGAAACGAUUUAACAUGAAGACUCAAAAUGCUGUGGAGAGCAUGAGUGAAGGAAUGGGUGGGUUGGAAGAUGGGCCAGUUGGAACAUCAGAUUUCCCAAGAAAGGGAGUGUUACACCCACAAAAUAUGUUUCAGAAGAAUCUAGGCUGUAAAAGAUAAAAACACUAUAAAACCGAUUGAAAAAACCCAUAAAACCUAUUUAAAAUGCUAUAAAACCAAUGGAUGAAAAGAGAGGAGAAUAUUUUCAAGAUCUUGGAGGAUCCUCCCAAGCCAGACACAAAAUGCAAAAGCUAUAAAAUAAAAGGUUGAUAGAUUUGACUCCA
ensembl:lncRNA